rnacentral:rRNA from 1 species
CGGCGACCGGCAAACGGGUGCGGAACACGUACGUAACCUUCCUCUAAAUGGAGCAUAGCCCGAAGAAAUUCGGAUUAAUACUCCAUAAGAUUGUAGAGUGGCAUCACUCAGCAAUUAAAGAAUUUCGUUUAGAGAUGGGCGUGCGGCUGAUUAGGUAGUUGGUGAGGUAACGGCUCACCAAGCCGACGAUCAGUAACUGGCGUGAGAGCGCGACCAGUCACACGGGCACUGAGACACGGGCCCGACUCCUACGGGAGGCAGCAGUAAGGAAUAUUGGUCAAUGGACGCAAGUCUGAACCAGCCAUGCCGCGUGAAGGAUGAAGGUCCUCUGGAUUGUAAACUUCUUUUAUAUGGGAAGAAACCACUCUUAUCUUGGGGUGUUGACGGUACCAUAGGAAUAAGCACCGGCUAACUCCGUGCCAGCAGCCGCGGUAAUACGGAGGGUGCAAGCGUUA